CUGCAUUGCUGAAGGCUUCGAUUCCUGAGCUGGAAAGAUCUGUGGAGAAGGGGAUGGCUACCCACUCCAGUAUUCUUGCCUGGAGAAUUCCAUGGACAGAGGAGCCUGGCGGGCUACAGUCCACGGGGUUGCAAAGAGUUGGACACGACUAAAGCGAUUUCUC